UACGUAGGGGGCGAGCGUUGUCCGGAAUCAUUGGGCGUAAAGCGCGUGUAGGCGGCCCGGAAAGUCUGGUGUGAAAUCUUAGGGCUCAACCCUAAGCUGUCACUGGAUACUGUCGGGCUCGAGUCCGGAAGAGGAGAGUGGAAUUCCUGGUGUAGCGGUGGAAUGCGCAGAUAUCAGGAGGAACACCCAUGGCGAAGGCAGCUCUCUGGUACGUGACUGACGCUGAGACGCGAAAGCGUGGGGAGCAAACAGG
rnacentral:rRNA from 1 species